UGGAGUUAUCCAAUAUUAAAUAGAAACAGUAUAAUAGCAAUAAAUGACAGGGAAAAAGCUGAUAUUUUAGUAAGCACAUUUAUGGAGAUUCAUAGUGGGAAAAAAUGAUCAGAUAAAGAAAUAAAGGGGAGAGAGAAAACUAAAAGAGAAAAUGGUGGAAUUUUAAGAAGAAAGGAAAUUAUUAAGGAUGAAUUGAUGAACGAACAUUUCUCUAUUGGAGAAUUGAAAAGAGCUUUGGGUAGAACAAGAAAUAGUGCUCCAGGUAAAGAUGAAGUAUGCUAUAUUAUGCUAAGACAUGUGAGUGAUGAUGUUUUGAAGAAGAUAUUAAAUUUGUAUAAUAAGAUUUGGAAAGAGGGAAGAAUACCUAGUGAAUGGAAAGAAGCGGUUGUUAUUCCGAUAAAGAAACCUGGGAAAGAUCAUAGUAAUCCUGAAAACUAUAGGCCGAUUGCUUUAACAUCUAAUAUAUGUAAGCUGAUGGAAAGGAUGGUGAAUGAGAGGUUAGUACAGUAUUUGGAAUCAAGGAAUAUAAUUGCUCCGUAUCAGAGUGGCUUUCGUAGAGGGAGAGGAACAAUGGAUCCAGUAUUGUGUUUAGAAGAUGAUAUUAGAAAAGCUCAAAUUAAUAAGGAAACUGCUGUGGCUGUAUUUUUUGAUGUGGAAAAAGCAUAUGACAUGUUAUGGAGAGAAGGAUUAAUGAUUAAACUACACCAGAUAGGAAUAGGAGGGAGUAUGUUUAACUGGAUAUGGGAUUUUUUAUGUGAUAGAAAUAUCCAAGUUAAAAUAGGUUCUCAUGUUUCAAAAUCGUGUCAAAUAGAAAAUGGAACUCCUCAAGGAAGUGUGAUAAGUCCAACAUUAUUCUCGGUGAUGAUAAAUGAUAUUUUUAAUGAAAUACCAGUUAGUUUUGGGAAAUCACUAUUUGCUGAUGAUGGAGCAUUAUGGAAAAGGGGAAGAAAUAUAGAACAUCUUAUUUUAAAACUUCAGGAAGGUAUAGAUAUAGUAGGUAAGUGGGGAAUUGAGUGGGGUUUUAAAUUUUCAAUUGAGAAGACAAAAGUAAUGUUCUUUACAAAUAAGAAAGUUAGAAUUGAUAAAAAAUUAUAUUUAUAUGGAAAAGAAUUAGAAACGGUUGAUAGUUUUCGUUUUUUGGGAGUAGUCUUUGAUAAGAAACUAACUUGGGAAAAUCAUAUAGAUCACAUUAUGGAAAAAAGUAAAAAGGUUCUUAACAUUAUGAGGUGCUUGACAGGAUUGACAUGGGGUACAAACUAUGAAUCACUUAAAAAUAUUUAUGUGUCAUUAAUUCGAUCUAGAAUAGAUUAUGGGAGUGUGGUGUAUGGAUCAGCAAGCAAAACUAGGUUAAACAAAUUGGAUAUUAUUCAAGCAAGAGCUUUGAGAAUUUGCUUAGGGGCAGUUAAAUCUACUCCAGUAUGUGCAUUACAAGUAGAGUCAGGAGAGAUGCCAUUAUGUAUUAGAAGACAGCAGAUCAUGGUAAAUUAUUGGAUAAGUUUAAAAGGACAAAAUGAAGAUCACCCAGUUAAGAAAGUGUUGCAACAUUGUUGGGAGAGAGGAAAAGGGAAAAGUAAUAGUUUUGGGUGGGUGGGAGAUGAUAGAGCAAAAACAUUUAAUGUAUUUGACAAAGAAUUCAGUCAAACAGUAGUAUGGCCUGUGAGACCAGCAUGGUCAUGGAAAUAUAUUAAUGUAGACAAGACACUAUUAGAUAUUCAGGGGAAAAAGAUGAUAGAUAUGUGCCAAGAGUUUUAUCAUCAAAUACAAAAUAAAUAUAAUGAUUAUGUACAGAUUUAUACUGAUGUUUCAAAAGAUCCUAAAAACAAAGUAACAAGUGCAGCAGUAGUGAUUCUAGAUUUAUAUACAAAGAUUUCAAAAAGAACAUCUGAUUACUUGAGUAUCUAUGCAGUAGAAAUGUGUGCUAUAUUAUUAGCUUUAGAAUGGGUGGAGGAUAGUAAAGAAAAUACAUUUAUAAUUUGUAGUGAUUCACUAUCUGCUUUGAUGAGUAUUGAAAAGGGAUGUUCAAGUAAUCAUCAAAAUAUAUUAUAUGAAGUUAUGGCUGUUCAUCAUAGAAUAUGUGAUCAAAAUAAAAAGGUAAUAUUAUUUUGGACUCCUGCUCAUGUAGGUAUUUUAGGUAAUGAAAGAGCAGAUAGGUUGGCUAAGGAGGCUAGUAAAAAAGAAAAAAUUGAUAUGUUAGUAAAGCUAUCGAAAUCAGAGGGGAAAAGUAUAGCUUGGAGAGAAAGUAAAAAGAUAUGGAAAAUUAGGUGGGAUAAUGAAAUAAAUGGAAGGCAUUUACACAGAUUUCAAAAUACAGUUGAUGUAGAAAGGGUUAGAGGGUUAAAUAGAAAGGUAGAGGUAAUUAUAACUCGAAUAAGAACCGGGCAUAGUUUAUUAAAUGGAACUCUUUAUAAGAUGGGGAAACAUCCUACUGGUUUAUGUAUUUGGUGUGAUUCUGUAGAAACAAUGGAACAUGUUUUUAUUUGUUGUAGAAAAUAUGAAAAUGAAAGAAAAUUAUUAAUAUUGGAAUUAGGCUGUACCAGGGAAUUGAAGUUUGAAAAAGUGGUUGAUCAGUUAAAUAGUAAUGAGGGGAGGAAGAAAAUUUUGUGGUUUUUUAAAAAACAGUGGGAUUAUUUCGAGAAUUUGUUAGAUAAUUAGGAUCCAAUAGAUGGCAGUAGUGCAACAAAAAUGGAUGCAAGCUGCCGUUAAAUCCUAAAGAAGAAGAUGAAGUUAAUUGGAGGGGCUAUAAAACACACGGCGUUUUACGUUUCUGUAGUGACUGUCUAUGUUUUUCAUGCCUUCUCUGUGAUCAUGUGUGAAAAGCUGAGGAAGGUGAACAGCUGGUUGGAGGGAGUGUUUGGGGAUCAGCCAGUGCCAUCAUUUGAGGUGAACACCAGGACUGUGGACAUACUGUAUCAGCUGGCUCAGUCCAGUGAAGCCCGCUGCAGUGAUACUGCUCUCCUCAUUGAAGACUACAAGCAGAAAACAUCAGAGUAUCAGGCUGACGGUGAGGCACAUACAGCAGGCAGAACAGAUGAUGCAUUAAAACACUUGGAUCGGAAAGGCUGAAUUGAUCUAAAGUGUUUAGAUUUGCCGAAUGGCAUGUUUUGCACAUGUCGAAACUAAUAGAAACUGAAGUAAAUAUUUUUUUAUGGCUUAAGAUAUA